UGUCCAGAUCAGCAUCUAACUGAAAAACUGAUAAUUGGAGGUUAGAGGGAUUUUACUGUGCAAAAUUUGAAAGUUUGUGGUGUUUUAUGUUACAUUUUUAAUUUGAGAUACCGUAAUGUUACAACUAAAUAAAUUCAGGGAUAGUUGUCAAAAUUUAUUCAAUUUUCCAUCAAGGGCCUCUGCCUGGUUUGGAGUUUCUAGAAACAGUGUGAUUGAGUAUUUUGGUAUUUGCCCAAUCUGAUUUCAGUAUUUCAACAGCAGCAGCUGAGAUUGGUAUUGUUGUUGGCGGCAGCAACAGUGACAACAUAGAUGGUGGAGGAAGUAAAAAAAAUAAAUAACAGUAAAUAAAGUAAUAAUGACUACAUAAAUUUCUGUAUGUAAUGGAAAUUUCACUAAGUAAUAGUUUUUACAUUGUGUAGUAGACGUUACAUGCAAUAGAUUUUCUUCGUGCAACCAAGCAAAGUAGCGAGUCAUGUAAUGUUUCCACAGUUGUAUUACAGUUUUGAUUACAUUCUAGUAUUGCCUUAAGCUAUUUACGGGUACUGAUGCUGCUCUCCUUUGAUCAAUCUUUAUACCUUAUCGACCUGUGCCACAAGGAGAGAAAGUGAGGUCGGUGACUUAUUGAUCAACCACUCCGAUGCUUAAGUUGGAAUUUAAAGUUUGAUUGAAUUUGAAUGAAAGAGAUGAUUCAAUAGUGACUUUGAUAGAGUCAGCUUACUUGAUUUAUUGUAGUUGAUUCCGAGGAUCUUGAUAUGCUCGGCGGCUGCAUCCAUUAUUGACUUGUUCUUCCAAUGCUCGGCUAGGUGUAGCUCGGGGAUGUUGGGCGAGCAUUCUGUCCGGCUAUUGGUCGAAUGUGUUCACUCAUGUUAGUGCUUGUUCUGGACCUGGCCGAGCCUACGACACUCGGUCUUGUCUAUCCGAGUCUGAUGAUGCUUGGACUGUUUAGCCUGAGCCAUUUGAUGCUUGGAGUGGUCACUUGUCAUGACUUCUUCUCUGUUGUUGACCUCUUGACUGAAUGCUUGACUUUUUGACCGGCAUGUUGGCUCUUUGACUGAGUACUGGCUCGUUGACUUGGUUUUGGGACGGGCUAUAUCAGUUUUGGGUUUUGUUGGAGAACCUUGGACAAUAGCUACAUCUAUAGUGGAAGAGGUACAACUCUUACAUACACUACCAUAAAGAGUAUGUGCCAUACAGCACCACAUGUAUUGAGUGCUCCUCUCUCAUUCAACACAGGCAAUAUGGAGUCUGGGGCACAUUGCAUACAAUAUUUGAUUCCUGGGGUGGACCAGCUACCACCUUGCAUUUGGGACUGUUGGUAAAGGCCUUACAUUGAAGAAAUAAUCCAUAUAUGCCCUGAAACACCACUUGUUCUCUACAUUAAUGGAAAUGGUGGCCUUGUUGAGCAUAUGAAAGGAACUGGAGUUGAUGUGAUUGUGCUAGACUGGACGAUGGAUAUGGCAGAUGAUCGAAGCGUUUGCAACAUUGCGUAGUGGUGGUGGGAUUAGUAUAAAAGGAAAUGGGGACCAUGCUUCACCUCUUCCUGCAUUGUCCGAUGAAAUUCAUUGGUUUGGGAAAUAAAUUAGAAUUUUCUGAUCUAACUACUUCCCCCACCAUAUUCAGUACUGUUGACAUACGAAUAUUUGAAUUUCACUAUGUGUGAGCCAAAGCUUGCUUGUUUAUAGGAAUGAAGUCCUUAGUCUUCAAAUCAGUUUGUUGAAAGUCUUUCUGAAUUGGAAAUCCUUUUUAAUAUUUACUUCUCUUUGUCAGUGUCAUAAUAAUGAAUAUUCAAUUAAAAUUUUAAUAUUUUUUAAA